ensembl:lncRNA
CACACAUAGAGCAUGCUCAGUGGAGGCCACUUCGGUUAGAAGAAGGCGGAACAUACCCUGGUCGUAGGGCUGGGCUAGAAACAAGCUGAAUCUCCAGAUAGGAGGUCACAUCCAGCUAUCCCUUGUGGGGUACCAAGACUGGGUGAGCAGAAUCAGAGAAAAACCUUAUUAUGUAGAGUAACUGAGGCCACAGUGCCUGAGCUAUGGGAUUGUUAUGAGUGUUUGCCUGGCUUCUACUGGUAGAGUUCGAUUUAAAUCUCCCAGGCAUUGUUGAUUGGCCUGUGCCCUUUUUCAAAGGACCUGCUGGUGGGGUACACCUUGACUGAAAUUGUAGGGGUGAUCCUGGUCCCAUCUUGUGUGUGGUGACUUUAUGCCUGCUCCAAAUUAUGCAGUGGGAGAAGACCACCAGCCAACCCUCAACAAGGCAGAAAUCAGGAUCCCGACGGGCUUCAGGAUCUGUCCUCCCUUACUGAUCAUCUCCCAGAGCCUGGGAAUCUGGAAGCAGAGCCCAAGGUCUCAUGCUCCUUGACAGAAUCAUGCUACCCACAGUGUAAGAAUGCCUUGCUUGGGUGUGGCUCCUGAGUCCCUGGUUGGUUCUUGUUCAGGUUUGUCUCUCUCUGAGUGGGAUGCAUAGGAGGGACAUGUCAUGUGAGCUACUCUUCAAACCGAAGCACUUCUGAGAGCAGAAUGGAGUUGUGUUUCUAAAUACAAGGGACAACAGAUGUGAGCAAGACAGAUUGGAGUAUUGUCCCUUGAAUUCUAAGCCAUGGCUGAAGACUGCAGAUAGGGGCCAGGACUCAGCUGUUGUCACCUGCAGGGCCCUCCCAAGCCCCAGGCUGGGUGCAGUUGCAGGAGCAGCAACAGUAACUGCACACAGACCACAGUGUGAGCCCUUCCCAUGGGGAGUCCAUGUGCCACACCAGAUGCCCAGACACACUCCUGGGCUUCUGCCCAGGAACAACACUAGCCAUCUCUGGAUGGCAGAGUGGUUGUGUGUGGUCUACAAAGUUCUGUGACCUUCUUCUGCUCAUUUGUUCUUUCUGAUAUUUUCAAGAGGAAGGCAUCAAGACACCCAUUGCAUAGACAAGGAAACUGAGGCCCAGAAACAAGAAUCUGUCCCAAAUCCCACAUCUACCAGGUGACUGAGUGGGUCAUCUGAGCUGAUUCAGGCCUUCAUCUCACUUCUCCAGCAUCCCCUACUUCCUGUGGGCCAGAGACUCAGGCUGAAGCCUGAGUUGAGCUCGGGGAAUGGAAGUGGACUCGGGUGAUGAGGAUUAUGAAUUAUUUGCUGAAACCUCAGGCUCCCUCAAGCCUGACUUCUCUACUCUGAACUGUAAGUCACAAUAAAC